ACUGGUCACAUGAUCCACCAAUUAACUUCAGUGAGAAAACAUCACUGACCAAAAGUGUAAGAUCAGGCUCACAUGUGUGCAGCUCUGUGUCUGUGAAGAGUGACUGGUCACAUGAUCCACCAAUCAACUUCAGUGAGAAAACAUUACAGAC